UGGGGAAUAUUGGGCAAUGGGCGCAAGCCUGACCCAGCAACGCCGCGUGAAGGAAGAAGCUUUCGGGUUGUAAACUUCUUUUAUUGAGGACGAAACAAAUGACGGUACUCAAUGAAUAAGCCACGGCUAACUACGUGCC
rnacentral:rRNA from 1 species